rnacentral:rRNA from 1 species
ACCCGCUGAACUUAAGCAUAUCAGUAAGCGGAGGAAAAGAAACUAACUAGGAUUCCCCGAGUAGCGGCGAGCGAAAGGGGAGAAGCCCAGCGCCGAAGCCCGCGGCCCUCAGGUCGCAGUGCAAUGUGGCGUUUCGGCGGCGACUCGCGACGGCCGCUCUGGCACGAGUACCUCUGAAUGGGUCUGCCCCGGCGGGUGUCAGCCCUCUACUUGCCAGACGAGCGGUCGUUGCCCGUCGUCGUCGCGGAGUCGGGUUGCUUGAGAGUGCAGCCCAAAGUGGGUGGUAAGCUCCAUCUAAGGCUAAAUACCUAGUGCGAGACCGAUAGCAAACAAGUACCGUGAGGGAAAGUUGCAAAGAACUUUGAAAAGAGAGUUCAAGAGUACGUGAAACCGUUCAGAGGCAAACGGACGGAACUGGGCGAGUUCGCCGUCGUCAUUCAGCCGGUGCCUCGGUGCCGGUGCACUUGGCGGCGGCGGAGCGCGACGACCGCCUGUCGGGUCGUCAGAAGCCCGGCGGCAAGGUGGCGACGCGUUCGCGCGUCGUGUUACAGGCCGCCGCGGCGUUGGCUGACUCGGCGGGCGAGGAGCGCCUGCGGUGCACUCCCCCCCUCGCGGGGCGGGAGUGGCCCGACGCGGUUGGCUUGCGGACGCCGGCGACGAACUGCUCGCAGUUUGACGUCGCGCGGGCCGUCUGUCGAGCCGCGCGGUGCCACGGGGCACCCAGGGUCCGGGUCGUGUGGUUCCUGGCACUCCGUCCGACCCGUCUUGAAACACGGACCAAGGAGUUGAGCACGCGCGCGAGUCGAUGGGCUCUCAGAACCCCAGUGGCGCAGCUAAGGCAAAACGGGCGUGAUCCGGCACUGGCGUGUCGGCGCAACGCCGGCCCGCAGGCGACUCGCUGCAAGUGCCUGCGGUGCAAGAGCGCGUGUGCUCAGACCCGAAAGGUGGUGAACUAUGCUUGAGCAGGGCGAAGCCAGAGGAAACUCUGGUGGAGGCUCGCAGCGAUCCUGACGUGCAAAUCGGUCGUCAAACUUGAGCAUAGGGGCGAAAGACUAAUCGAACCGCCUAGUAGCUGGUUCCCUCCGAAGUUUCCCUCAGGAUAGCUGGCACUCGGGAUAAAUGGUUUUAUCCGGUAAAGCGAAUGAUUAGAGGCAUUGGGGACGAAACGUCCUCAACCUAUUCUCAAACUUUAAAUGGGUAAGAGGCGCGGCCCUUCCUGAUCGGGGUCGCGUGCUUGAACAGAGAGUGCCCAGUGGGCCGUUUUUGGUAAGCAGAACUGGCGCUGUGGGAUGAACCAAACGCUCGGUUAGGGUGCCUAACGCGCGCUCAUGAGAGACCACAAAAGGUGUUGGUUGAUAUAGACAGCAGGACGGUGGCCAUGGAAGUCGGAAUCCGCUAAGGAGUGUGUAACAACUCACCUGCCGAAUCAACUAGCCCUGAAAAUGGAUGGCGCUGGAGCGCGCGACCCAUACCGGGCCGUCGGGGCAACGCGUGCGAAAUGCCAGGCCCCGACGAGUAGGAGGGCGUGUCGGUGGCGUUGAAGCGUAGUGCGCGAGCACGCGUGGAGCCGCCUUCAGUGCAGAUCUUGGUGGUAGUAGCAAGUAUACAAAUGAGAACUUUGUAGACCGAAGUGGAGAAGGGUUCCAUGUGAACAGCAGUUGGACAUGGGUCAGUCGGCCCUAAGAGAUCGGAAAAUUCCGUUCUGAACGGGGGAGACGCGUCGCGUGACAUGCCGUCUGAACCAUAUUUGUCAAAACCGACGCCCCAGCCGGUUGGCCGGCGCGCCCGCCGUCCGUCCUCCUCCGCGCCUUCGAGCCCGCCUCCUCCCUUGAGGCGCGGGUGUUGGGGCGCGUGUUGGGGGGUCGGGCAUGUGCGACCGCGCGCCGAGAUCACGGGCGUAUUGGCUUGGAGCGGCGCCGUCACGCGCGCGCGAGGUGUCACCCCGAUGCGAUCGAAAGGGAAUCGGGUUAAUAUUCCCGAACCUGGCAGUGGAGAUUGGGCCCUCGGGCCCCAGUGCGGUAACGCAACCGAACUCGGAGACGCCAGCGUCGAUCCCGGGAAGAGUUCUCUUUUCUUUGUUAGGAGCGGACUCCCUGGAAUUGGCUUGUCCAGAGAUAGGGACGUUGCAUCCGUAAAGCGUCGCGCCUCACGCGGCGUCCGGUGCAUCGGCGUUGGCCCUUGAAAAUCCGAGGGAGGCAGUGUAAUUUUCACUCCAGGCCGUACCCGAAUCCGCAGCAGGUCUCCAAGGUGAACAGCCUCUGGUCGAUAGAACAAUGUAGGUAAGGGAAGUCGGCAAAUCCGAUCCGUAACUUCGGGAUAAGGAUUGGCUCUGAGGUGCGGGCUGCUUCGGGUCGCGGCAAGAAGCGGAUCGUGCGUUGGUUGGACUGGGCGCGCCUCGGCGCGUUCGGACCGCCGCCAGCGCGCGUCCGUGGGAGGCCGUGGCUUUCGCCGGCGGGGGCUUCGGCGCCCCGUCGGCUUCGUUCGGCCUAAACGCACAGCACAGAACUGGCGCGGACUCUGGGAACACGACUGUCUAAUUAAAACAAAGCAUCGCGAUGGCCGCUGGUCGGUGUUGACGCGAUGUGAUUUCUGCCCAGUGCUUUGAAUGUCAAAGUGAAGAAAUUCAACCAAGCGCAGGUAAACGGCGGGAGUAACUAUGACUCUCUUAAGGUAGCCAAAUGCCUCGUCAUCUAAUUAGUGACGCGCAUGAAUGGAUUAACGAUGUUCCCACUGUCCCUAUCUACUAUCUAGCGAAACCACAGCCAAGGGAACGGGCUUGGCAAAUACAGCGGGGAAAG